UAAAUUUUAAAAUUAUAAUACUAAAAUAGUAAAUAAUUAUUUAUUAAAACUUAAAUAAUUUGGCGGUAUUUUAGUUCAUUUAGAGGAAUCUGUUUAAUAAUUGAUAUUCCACGAAUAAAUUUACUUAAUUUUUAAUUUUGUAUAUCGUUGUUAUAAAAAUAUUUUUUAAUAAAGUUAAUAUUUAAAAAUUAUUAUAAAAAUUUAAAUCAGAUCAAGAUGCAGAUUAUAGUUAAGAAUAUAAUGGAUUACAAUAAAAUUAUUUAAAUGGAUGUUAAUUUGUAAUAUUUAAUUGAAAGUGGAUUUAAAUGUAAUUUUAUUUAAUUUAAUAAAAUGAUUAAAAAUUAAAAUAUGU
rnacentral:rRNA from 1 species